ensembl:lncRNA
UUAGAUGUUUCUCAUAUCUGUCACGGUCUAAGCAUGAUCUGUUUCUGUUGUUCUGAUGAAGGAAACUUGUGUUGGGGAGGAUUCAGUGUCUGUUGAGGCCCAUGUGAAUGUGCUACAAAGUGAGUAUCAGAAACACCUGGACUGUCAAAGACCACAUGGCAGGAACAUUCUCCUGGAGACGCUGAGAAAGCACGGAAGGAAUGUCUGUGGAGGAUGUACUCAAAAAACACCCAUACUUAAGAACACCUGCUGGAGUUAGUAUAGUAAAAAAAAAACUGUGAAAUAUCUUGUUUCAAAUCUUUUAAUGUAAUGUUUUAUUCUUCUGUACCCUUUUAGCCCAUCUGUUAAAAAUUUAAAGCAAUAGUUUUAGAAAACAAUUAGCUUCUAAUAGUUUUUGCAGUUCUGCACUGUAUGUAGCUACUCUGUCUGAGCCAAAGAAUAUGGAACAGAAUCUAAUGAAUUUGAAAAAAAAAAAAAAAAAUAAUAAUAAUAAUCUUUUUUUCUUUUUUUUUUUUCUUUUUUUUAAUUAUUAUUAUUUUUUUGUAUUUAUUUUAUGUAGGGGGACCCUGCUACACCCUUUCCUACCAUACAGCUGAUGGAUACUGACUGUAUAAUAGCAAUCAUAGGAGGAGGGCUCAGUGUGGUGACAGAAGAUGGAAUAGACGUGUGGCAGUGCACCAGCCUUGAUGAAGCCUUCAUAACAGCCUUCUGGAUGUAUUCUGCUUUCAACAUUGCAUAUCCAACACACCUGAGAAAGACACUGACUUUCCUUCAGAGGCACAUUGUCAACAUUAGAAGAUGGAGACAAGCACUGCCAGUAUCAUUGACUGGAAGUCUGUCAGUCCAGAUGUGAGGAAGACAUACAGAGUGGCUGUAGAUAGUGUGGUCUUGGAAAGAAGGGGGUCUUCACAGCUUUCUAUUCAGACAAAGAGUUUGCUGGAUUCUGUUCUGUGGACUGCUACUACAGAAUGAAUGAAUGUAUGAAUGAGUGGUUUAUCUAUCUAUCUAUCUGUCUAUCUAUCUAUCUAUCUGUCUAUCCAUCUAUCUUUUACUUGAAUUGGCGACUGAAACUGAAACUGAAAGCGAAAUAAAUGUUUUAGUGGAUAAAGCUGUCUGUUUGCU